GAAUCUGCCUGGUAGUGGGGGAUAACGUUCGGAAACGGACGCUAAUACCGCAUACGUCCUACGGGAGAAAGCAGGGGACCUUCGGGCCUUGCGCUAUCAGAUGAGCCUAGGUCGGAUUAGCUAGUUGGUGGGGUAAUGGCUCACCAAGGCGACGAUCCGUAACUGGUCUGAGAGGAUGAUCAGUCACACUGGAACUGAGACACGGUCCAGACUCCUACGGGAGGCAGCAGUGGGGAAUAUUGGACAAUGGGCGAAAGCCUGAUCCAGCCAUGCCGCGUGUGUGAAGAAGGUCUUCGGAUUGUAAAGCACUUUAAGUUGGGAGGAAGGGUUGUAGAUUAAUACUCUGCAAUUUUGACGUUACCGACAGAAUAAGCACCGGCUAACUCUGUGCCAGCAGCCGCGGUAAUACAGAGGGUGCAAGCGUUAAUCGGAAUUACUGGGCGUAAAGCGCGCGUAGGUGGUUUGUUAAGUUGGAUGUGAAAUCCCCGGGCUCAACCUGGGAACUGC
rnacentral:rRNA from 1 species